rnacentral:rRNA from 1 species
AUGCACGCUGGCGGCGUGCCUCAUACAUGCAAGUCGAGCGAACAGACGAGGAGCUUGCUCCUCUGACGUUAGCGGCGGACGGGUGAGUAACACGUGGAUAACCUACCUAUAAGACUGGGAUAACUUCGGGAAACCGGAGCUAAUACCGGAUAAUAUAUUGAACCGCAUGGUUCAAUAGUGAAAGACGGUUUUGCUGUCACUUAUAGAUGGAUCCGCGCCGCAUUAGCUAGUUGGUAAGGUAACGGCUUACCAAGGCAACGAUGCGUAGCCGACCUGAGAGGGUGAUCGGCCACACUGGAACUGAGACACGGUUCAGACUCCUACGGGAGGCAGCAGUAGGGAAUCUUCCGCAAUGGGCGAAAGCCUGACGGAGCAACGCCGCGUGAGUGAUGAAGGUCUUCGGAUCGUAAAACUCUGUUAUUAGGGAAGAACAAAUGUGUAAGUAACUAUGCACGUCUUGACGGUACCUAAUCAGAAAGCCACGGCUAACUACGUG